rnacentral:RNase_P_RNA from 1 species
AGUAAGCCAGGCAGUCGCUGUGAAACACGUUUCAUGGAGGAAAGUCCGAGCAUCACAGGGCAGGAUAGUGGGUAACGCCCACCGAGGGUGACCUUAGGGAAAGUGCAACAGAAAUAUACCGCCAGAGUAUCUGGUAAGGGUGGAAAGGCGAGGUAAGAGCUCACCGGCCUGUAUGGUGACAUACGGGCCCUGUAAACCCUAUCUGAUGCAACGUCGAUAAAAGCGAGGCUUGCCCGGCCGUUUGAGCUUUGAAAGGCGGCUUGAGGGAUAUGGUAACAUAUACCCCAGAUAGAUGAUUGCCAAAUACAGAACUCGGCUUAUAGACUUGCUCG